rnacentral:rRNA from 1 species
UACGUAGGCAGCGAGCGUUGUUCGGAGUUACUGGGCGUAAAACGCUUGUAGGCGGCCAUGCGAAGUCGGAUGUGAAAUCUCCCGGCUUAACUGGGAGGGGUCAUCCGAUACUGGCGGGCUCGAGGCAGGUAGGGGGAAGCGGAAUUCCCGGUGUAGUGGUGGAAUGCGUUGAUAUCUAGGGGAACACCAAAAGCGAAGGCAGGUGACUGGACCGUUUCUGACGCUGAAACACGAAAGCGUGGGUAGCGAAUGGG